rnacentral:rRNA from 1 species
AACGAACGCUGGCGGCAGGCUUAACACAUGCAAGUCGAGCGCCCCGCAAGGGGAGCGGCAGACGGGUGAGUAACGCGUGGGAACGUACCUUUUGGUUCGGAACAACUCCGGGAAACUGGAGCCAAUACCGGAUAAGCCCUAACGGGGAAAGAUUUAUCGCCGAAAGAUCGGCCCGCGUCUGAUUAGCUAGCUGGUGAGGUAACGGCUCACCAAGGCGACGAUCAGUAGCUGGUCUGAGAGGAUGAUCAGCCACACUGGGACUGAGACACGGCCCAGACUCCUACGGGAGGCAGCAGUGGGGAAUAUUGGACAAUGGGCGCAAGCCUGAUCCAGCCAUGCCGCGUGAGUGAUGAAGGCCUUAGGGUUGUAAAGCUCUUUUGUCCGGGAAGAUAAUGACUGUACCGGAAGAAUAAGCCCCGGCUAACUUCGUG